GUUUCUUACAUCGAUCCUUCUCAAAAGUUCACAUUGGAACACAGAUAUGAUUCACAUUUAUAGAAACACUGUCACGAGUCAUUCAACAGGAUAAUCAAGCAAAACAUGUACAAUGAGAUAGGAACAAUCCAAUUUCUAAGCGGAUGACAUCCAAUGAUGAAGGAAAUGAUUUAAAUCAAAGAAGGCAUCAAAAUAA